rnacentral:rRNA from 10 species
AACGACUCUCGGCAACGGAUAUCUCGGCUCUCGCAUCGAUGAAGAACGCAGCGAAAUGCGAUACUUGGUGUGAAUUGCAGGAUCCCGCGAACCAUCGAGUUUUUGAACGCAAGUUGCGCCCGAAGCCUUCUGGCCGAGGGCACGUCUGCCUGGGUG